rnacentral:pre_miRNA from 13 species
UUCAUGUGUGAUUUUGAUUGUUGCUCAGAAAGCCUUUAAUUUGAAAUUGACUUUCGGGUUUCAAUCAAUUUCGCACGUGGU